GACGAACGCUGGCGGCGUGCUUAACACAUGCAAGUCGAACGGAAAGGCCCCUUUGGGGGUACUCGAGUGGCGAACGGGUGAGUAACACGUGAGUAACCUGCCCUUGACUUCGGGAUAACUUCAGGAAACUGGGGCUAAUACCGGAUAGGAAUCCUUGCUGCAUGGUGGGGGUUGGAAAGCUUCGGCGGUUUUGGAUGGACUCGCGGCUUAUCAGCUUGUUGGUGGGGUAGUGGCUUACCAAGGCUUUGACGGGUAGCCGGCCUGAGAGGGCGACCGCCACAUUGGGACUGAGAUACGGCCCAGACUCCUACGGGAGGCAGCAGUGGGGAAUAUUGCACAAUGGGCGGAAGCCUGAUGCAGCAACGCCGCGUGCGGGAUGACGGCCUUCGGGUUGUAAACCGCUUUCAGCAGGGGCGAAGCUUGUGGUGACGGUACCUGCAGAAGAAGCACCGGCUAACUACGUG
rnacentral:rRNA from 1 species